rnacentral:rRNA from 1 species
CCAUCGACGCCGCGUGCGGGAUGAAGGCCUUCGGGUUGUAAACCGCUUUCAGUAGGGAAGAAGCGAAAGUGACGGUACCUACAAAAGAAGCACCGGCUAACUAUGUGCCAGCAGCCGCGGUAAUACAUAGGGUGCAAGCGUUGUCCGGAAUUAUUGGGCGUAAAGAGCUCGUAGGUUGUUCGUUACGUCGGAUGUGAAAAUCUGAGGCUCAACCUCAGACCUGCAUUCGAUACGGGCGAACUGGAGUGUGGUAGGGGAGACUGGAAUUCCUGGUGUAGCGGUGGAAUGCGCAGAUAUCAGGAGGAACACCAAUGGCGAAGGCAGGUCUCUGGGCCAUUACUGACACUGAGGAGCGAAAGUCUGGGGAGCGAACAGGAUUAGAUACCCUGGUAGUCCAGACCGUAAACGGUGGGCGCUAGUUGUGGGAACCUUCCACGGUUUCUGCGACGUAGCUAACGCAUUAAGCGCCCCGCCUGGGGAGUACGAUCGCCAGAUUAAAACUCAAAGGAAUUGACGGGGCCCCGCACAAGCAGCGGAGCAUGCGGCUUAAUUCGACGCAACGCGAAGAACCUUACCAAGGCUUGACAUAUAGGGAAAAGCAAUAGAGAUAUUGUGUCCGCAAGGGCCCUAUACAGGUGGUGCAUGGUUGUCGGCAG